CCACCUUCGUCUCACCCGCACCCCUCGCUCCGAUCCACACGCCCCCUCCGUUCGAUGCGCGGCCCCUCGCUCCGAUCCGCCGCCCUCCCUCUCGCUCCACCCCGAAGCGCCGCGCCACACCUUUCCCGUCGCGCUGCUGCCUCCCCAGACGCCGCUCCUCCUCCUCCUCCCGCCGCCGCCGCCUCACUCCUCCGCCCAUGCGCCCCUGCCUCCCCGUCGCCGCACCCCUCCUUUCCCAUCGCGCCGCUGCCUCCCCCGACGCCGCACUACUACUCCUCCUCGAAGCGCCGUCCCUGCCGCAGUCAAUCUCUAUCCAGGGGAAGGGGCUCCUGGAUCUGCGGGUUCGCGGCGCGCGCCCCUCGUCUGACACAUCCAUCCGAGAGGACUUCCUCUUCGCGAAAGGGGUCGACGUCGCCGUGCCCCACCGCCCGUCCGGCGCCUCAACGCAGCCGUCAUGGGCCGACCUCACUGUUCCCCACCGCCGGAUCAUGCAUACUCGCCUGCCGCGCGCCUUCCUCGCUGCCGGAACCGUCCCCUCUGCACGGAUCUGCGCCCGCGUCAGGACGACACCCCGGUGGAAAUCGGCGUUCCCGUCGCGCCCGAUGCCGCAGCGUCGACUGCUUCGAGAAGCUCGAGCAGAUCGGGGAGGGCACCUACCGGCAAGUAUUCAUGGCGAAGGAGACCGAGAGGAAGGAAAUGUGGCAGUCAAGAAGAUUCGCAUGGACAACAAGCGAGAGGGUGGUCAGUUCCCUAUCACGGUCAUCCAGGAGAUUAAAAUCCUCAAGAAGCUGCACCACCAGAACGUGAUCAACUGACAACUGGUCAAUCUCAAAAAGAUCGUCACCCCUCGCCAGGGCCAGAGGGAGAUGAGCAGGGGAAGCACACUUUGUAGCAGCUAUAAAGGGCGCCUCCUUGGAGCAGCCCCCGUCACCUAGAAAGCAUCGCCUCGGUAACCAAUGCGUGGAGGAUAUUUAGCGUGGUUGAAUUGAUUUGUUGGUUAAAUGGGGGCGGGAAUGAAGGGUCGCUGCAUGCCUUCAUGCAAAACUCAGGCAACAUGGCAUAAAGCCCACGGCAAGGUUUAAAUGCCGGCGCAUGCACUCAGCUCUUCCUUGGUCUUUGGAGCAGGAGCUCAUCUGCCCUACAAAGCUGGAAGGAGGGAGUAGGACUUAAGAACAGCAAUCUUCAAUUGGAAAACAUUAUAUUAAGUGUGCUUUCUCCAAGGACUUGAGU